GGCACCUAACCUCAAUGAUUACUAUUUAGAUUUAAUUCUUUAUCAUUUGUAUGGUAAUGCAUUUGUGAACUUAUUUGAAUAAAUAGUGAAUACCAUUAGGUCUGAGAGAUCUAAAACUAAAUAACCUGAAGUAUAUAAAUAGUUUUUUUGGCUAGAUCAUAUAUGAGAAAAAAUGAUUUACCGACUGAAAAAAAAUGGGUCUUUAGGCUCAUUAAUUGUUA
rnacentral:lncRNA from 1 species